CUCUAGAUGACAUCCUAAUAGCCCUGUUCUGAUGAGUGCCAGAGAGUAACUACCCUAAAAUUAAAGGGCAAGGAUGUCUUUUCAAAAAAGAAUUUUUAAAAAACACUUGGGCUUUGCAACUUAGCCUUUCCCUCAGUGAGGUAGGCAUCCAGGGUGGCUGGUUUCACUGCUGUAAAGAUAAAUGGGAGGCUAAGUGGGGGUGUGUGCACCUCCUGGGGCCAUGGCUGGGGACUUGACAAGUCAUUUAUUCCAGGGCAUAGCCUGGCUCCUCGCCAGCCUCCCGUGUAAUCACAGCCAACGAGAAACCUGAAGUGGAUGACCCCCAGCAUGGGUCCUCUGCUUCCCAGCCAGCACCUCCCAGCAUCUGGUGGAUGUGCACAAUUUGUAAUACUUCUGAGGAUAAUGACUUGGUCUCAUGGAAAAAGGAGAAUUGGUCCAAGAUAAUGUCUGGUUACACAUGGAUUAAAAAGACAAAUAGUCAACAACAGUUGUCAGAAAAACAGUUCCCCUGUUCACCUGUCUUCAGAAGCAACAGCAGUCUUUAACUCCUUCAGCUGAAUGAAUAUUUGGUAAUUUUCCUUUUUCUAUCUAAAAUAAUAAGAUUUUAUUGUUAGUUCUUGAUUUUUUUUUUCCACCCAGAAAAAGGGACCAGAAAGAGACCAGGUCUCUGCCUCUGUCCUUUUCUCUAUUUUCACAGUGGAGGGAAUCAAUCAGGAAUGCUGGAAGAAUCUCUCCCAGAGUGUCUGUCCCUACGAGUGGAACACAAAUUCUCUUUCCACCAUUAAAAUGUACAAGGAAGAGACAAGAAUCUUCUCCUAAGCUUUGCAGAGUAUUCAAGUAGUAUGGGGGAGAUGUUUCUGGUCUAAUAUUGAGUAGAAAAGGUAACCAGUGUGAUUUCAAUUGGGGUCACAUUGAUAAAGGGGCCAGGAGGAGGAAAAUGGCAACUGCUGUAUUAGCAUGUAGAAUUAUGGGUAAUCUUUUACUCCCGCCACCGCUUUAUAUUUCUGUAAUGAACAUUCCUUUCCUCUAUCAUAGUUAAAAUAUUUAGUUCUAAAAAACUGAUGAAAAUCCUAUUUACUUUCCACAAUUGUUGUAAGGCCACAUCCACAAAGAGCCUACUACAUAUCAAUUAGGUACCCCAGAGAUGGCAACUUCCUUUCCUCCUUCAGCCCUGACCAUCCCUGUGGCCAUCCAUCCUUUUAGAAUGGAUGAUGAGGUGAACAUGUGAGGCUGGAUCCAGGAGUGAAUCCUCAGGGUGCUGUUGAACUGACAUUGGUAUUUGAUUCUUCAACAGUGUUGAAUUAGAGAUCCUGCAAAGACAUUAGGAGCCGUGGUGAGGGUGGCCAGACCAGAGCUGGGCAGGGCUAACAGGAAAUAUCAGCCUCCCACACCCAGGGCCACUCCCACCUACUGAUGACCCCGCUGGGAAGGAAAAAACAGGUCCUGGCUGGACGUGGAGGCUCACAUCUGUAAUCCCAGCACUCUGGGAGGCCAAAGCGGGUGGAUCACUUGAGGUCAAGAGCUCAAGACCAGCCUGGCCAACAU
rnacentral:lncRNA from 13 species